CCUACGGGAGGCAGCAGUGGGGGAUAUUGCACAAUGGGGGAAACCCUGAUGCAGCGACGCCGCGUGGGUGAAGAAGCGCCUCGGCGCGUAAAGCCCUGUCAGCAGGGAAGAAAAUGACGGUAGCUGAAGAAGAAGCCCCGGCUAACUACGUGCCAGCAGCCGCGGUAAUAAGUAGGGGGCGAGCGGUAUCCGGAGUUACUGGGUGUAAAGGGGGCGCAGACGGCGAAGCAAGCCAGCAGUGAAAGCACGGGGCCCAACCCCGGGACUGCUCUUGGAACUGCGUGGCUAGAGUGCAGGAGGGGCAGGCGGAAUUCCUGGUGUAGCGGUGAAAUGCGUAGAUAUCAGGAGGAACACCGGUGGCGAAGGCGGCCUGCUGGACUGCAACUGACGUUGAGGCCCGAAAGCGUGGGGAGCAAACAGGAUUAGAUACCCUAGUAGUC
rnacentral:rRNA from 1 species